CCCAACUGGAAACUCAGUGGAGGAAGGAGGAGUUUCUGCAGAUUGCUGGCUUCCCUGAAGUGAUCGGUGGCAUUGAUGGAACGCACGUAAUGAUUGUGGCUCCUAGAGAGUAUAAGGUAGAGUUUGUCAACAGGAAGAGAUACUACAGCAUCAACGUGCAGUUUGUGUUUGAUGCUUGAUACCACAUUAUUGAUGUGGUUGCAAAGUGGCCGGGAUCGGUUCACGAUGCAAGAAUACUUGUUCAAAGUGGACUCUGCACGAUAUUUGACAACGGCAUCGUCCCAGCUGGGUGUCACUUACAGGGAGAUAGUGACUAUCCCAGCAAGAAGUGGCUACUGACUCCAUACCUCAGACCACAGCCUGGAGCACAGUCUUCUUAUAACAGGGCCCACAAGAAAACCCGCAGCGUUGUUGAGAGGCAUCGGGCAGCUGAAGCGACAUUUUCACAUGCUACACAGUGAGAUCCGAGUUGGUCCUCCAUCCAAGGUCUGCCAAAUUGUAGAGGUUUGUGCACUGCUGCACAACAUCUGCAAAGCAAGAAACAUCAUUCUUCCUGAGGAAGAAGAACAUCUUGCUGCAGCCGAGGAUGGAGGCAACGAGGAGCGACUCCUAGCACAGAAAGUUCAAAGUCGCCAUGAAGUAAUCCUUUACAGGGAUGAAUUUGUUGUGCUUCACUUCAACAUUGAUGAGUGAUGAGACACCAGUGUCAUGACUGCUGAGAUUGGUGUUAUUCUCAUGUGGAUGAUCUCCUCCUCAUCCACAAACACCAGUGAUGUACCAGGCAAGUCUGGCCCCUGUUGGUGCUGCAAGUGGUGUGGCAGGUGCCUCCUCCUCAACACCCACUGCCUCGGUCACCACUUCUCUCUGUUGGGCUGCCUCUGCCACUUCCCCAGCAUCAUCUGCUGCCUGCACACUGCUGGCAUCAUUAGUUCUAACUUCAGAAACUAAGCUGAUAAUGUUUUUGGUUUUAUUGCUAAGGACAAAAGUAACAGAAACCAGUAAAUCUAGCUAAGGGUA